rnacentral:lncRNA from 1 species
GGGCCAGCUUGGGGAAAGGCUCAGGCUGCGGGCCUCCCUGGGCGCUUUCCAGAAGCCUCCUUUACGCCUCUCGCCCGGGUUUCACCCUUCCCUGGGAACUUUCCUGUCUGAGUUAACUAUUAACCGUUGACGAGAGGCAAUUUUCUUCGGAAUUUCAGCGAUUUCCUUUUCGUCCUGGAAGCAGAUUAACAUGCAAACGGGGAGGCGAUCGGCUCGAAGCUGUCCCUCCAAUCUGUCCCGGCCGCCGGACAGCGGAAAACUACAGCCCCGGCCCCCCCACGCCUGCUUGAGCAGGGGCCGUGACCCAGCCAGUACCCGCAGAGAAGAUGGAAAAAGCCCAGCGCCGGUGCUGGAGCGAAGUUGGAGGCACGGACACUGAUUGCGCCUUAUGAAGUUCUAACUGGUUUUGUGUCAGGAAGAUCUUUCUCGCUGCUACCCAGCCUGGCGUGACGGAUUAAACAUCAACUAGUUAAAUAAAAAUUAAUAUCAACUGCCUCCUAACUUCUAAUGUCAUGUUGUUUAUAACUAAUGAACUGAUUAGGGGAUAAACACAUCACGGAGACGUUCGGCUUUCCUGCCUCAGCUCCAUCCUCGCCGGUGCCCACUCCAGUGCUGCCAGUCGCCAGGCCAGGAAAGGGGGAGUUGGCUGGGAGGGCGGGGUAAGCUGCCUAGAGUGGGAGUCCCAGGGUUUGCUCCUCUGCCUGCCUUGAUCCAUCUCUCCUCUCUCUCCCCC